AACGAACGCUGGCGGCAUGCCUAACACAUGCAAGUCGAACGAGACCUUCGGGUCUAGUGGCGCACGGGUGCGUAACGCGUGGGAACCUUCCUUUAGGUUCGGAAUAACUCAGAGAAAUUUGAGCUAAUACCGGAUGAUGUCUUCGGACCAAAGAUUUAUCGCCUUUAGAUGGGCCCGCGUUGGAUUAGCUAGUUGGUGGGGUAAAGGCCUACCAAGGCGACGAUCCAUAGCUGGUCUGAGAGGAUGAUCAGCCACACUGGGACUGAGACACGGCCCAGACUCCUACGGGAGGCAGCAGUGGGGAAUAUUGGACAAUGGGCGAAAGCCUGAUCCAGCAAUGCCGCGUGAGUGAUGAAGGCCUUAGGGUUGUAAAGCUCUUUUACCCGAGAUGAUAAUGACAGUAUCGGGAGAAUAAGCGCCGGCUAACUCCGUG
rnacentral:rRNA from 1 species